GAGGUGGAAUGCAUUCCGCUGUUAGUUGUAUUGUCCUAUUUUCUUCAGGUGAUGGUGGAAAAGGAAAAAGGAUGAUUACUUGUUGGGGCAGUGGAAUCUUUGAUUGAGCUCGAAAGUUCACGGAAACUGAACCCGAAGGAAUGGAAGAAAAUACUGAACAAAGAACUGGAAAUUAAGGUGAUGUUGAAACGGAUGUGGAAUAUUCAUCAUAUUCUUAAAUAAUAAGAAGAAAGGGGGGAAGUUUGAACAGGACCAAGUGACUGACUUAGGCCCAAAAUGAUGAAGAAAAAAAAGACCAAGUCGAGUCGAGUCAAGUCCUCUCCUCUCCAACAGCUGUUGUGCCAGGUCCAUGCCUUCCACAUUACGAUCAAGGGAAGAUUAUGUGCCUUCCAUGUUACGAUCAAGAGAAGAUUAUGCUCAUGCUCAUGCUCAUGCAGUCAGAGGCAGCAUAGCGCAUGGUCAUAGUCGAUAGUCUCUGCUCCCCCCUGAAGUCCUCUCUGACGAUGUGGGCUUGGCUUCUCUUCUGUUCAAACUCAAACUCAAACUCAAUCCAAUACACUACAAUACAAUACAGAAAGAUUCCAUUCCAAUCCCUGUAUUUCUAUUACUAUUACUGCUGCUGCCGCCACCCUAUCGAAUUAUGCCUAUUAUUAUUUGAUGAGAUUCAUUACGUCCCACAUCUGAACGAUAUAACAACUUUUAUUGCUUUCAUUGCUUUUAUUGUCUGACCCUCACCCAGUUCCCAGUAUAACAACUGACAUGUAAACACAGUUGACUAAAAAAGUCUUGGGCUCUACUUCGUUUAGCAGUAAUAAAGCUUAGGUCAGAAUUAACAUUGGAAAGGAAUGGAGACCCACACACAACAGAUAACACACUCCAAAAAAAAAAAAAAAAAAAA